rnacentral:ncRNA from 1 species
CACAGGAAGGACUGACAAAUUGAUAGCUCUUUCUCGAUUCUGUGGGUGGCGAUGAAUGGCCGUUCUUAGUUGGUGGAGCAAUUUUUCUGGUUAAUUCUGAUAAUGAAUGAAAUUGUGACAUGCUAACUAGUUACUCGACCCUGUGCGGUCCAAUUCAAGCGUUUUAGAGGGAUAAGUGGCGUUCAGCCACAGAAGAUGGGUUGGCUGUGGCUCAGGA